AAUUGUCACAGCCAGACAACUGUUGGAGCAAAGAGGAUUCACAUCUCAUGAUAAUUUCCAUGGCUGCAGUGUUAUGCUGAGAAGGAUGUUGAGGGCCCAUCUUGUCUUGGCAGGAAGAGCGUUGUCUGGGGAGAAUGUGAUAAAGAGGAGUAACUGAAGAUAAUUGGAGACUAACGUGAUUUCCUCACUGCCAUAAUUAGUGGCAGAGGUGGGACUGGAACACAGGCAAGAAACGUCCCAAGUCACAGGUUCACCUUGUGUCAUCUUUGCUUUUCCUUCUCUAAAAUGAGGACCCCUCCCACCUCACCCAGGGUGGGAAAGGCCAGUUCAUCCCAGAGAGCUGCUAGGAGAGGGCAAGACAACUUGGAGUGGCUCCGAGGGGCAGCUUUCCUCCCGGACUCUCUGGACGGAGAGAAAACCCCAGUCUUUUGUGUGAUUCCUGGGGGGUGUGCCUGCAGCUUUCACCUUCAGAGGCAACAAUGAGAAAACCAGGGUAGCAGGGCUUGGCCCUAAACUCCACAGCGUAGUCUAAAGGCCAGAUGGAAGGUAAUGUACGAGUUAUAGGAUGUGGAAUCCGCUUAAGCUUGAGCCCUGUGAUCUAAGGGUAGUCCCCUCUGAGCUGGUUUCAGCAGACACCUUUCUCACAGGAUUACAUAUGAGUGCACAGUAGGCAGUCAACAAAUAUGGACUGAUCACACACACCAUGUUUUCUCUUCCCUCGGGGUCUUUGCACAUGCAGGUUCCUCUGCUUGGGACAUUUCUCCACUUUCUCUCCUCAUACACUGCUCACCGGAUCUCUGGAGCACUCAGUUUACACCGUGUCUUCAGAGAACACUCUGACUAACCCGAGGGGGUUAGGUACCCCCCUUCUGGGUGUCCACAGCACUCUGAACAUAUCCCAUCACAGCAUUUACCCCACUGGACUAUGGCGGCCUUUCUCCUGGAUUAGGCUGUGAGGCUCUGAGGGCAACGACCACAACAGAUUCAACUCUGUACCCUCAGUGCCUUGCACUCAGUAAACUCUCAAAGAAUACAUGCUGGCCAACUUACUAUAUCAAUGCCUUCUGUUCCCACUCCAUUCAUGACCACAAUAAAGAGCUCUAAACAGA